CGAGCACGCGCGUGUGGCAUAUCAAUAAGCGGAGGAAAAGAAACUAACAAGGAUUCCCUUAGUAACGGCGAGUGAAGCGGGAAGAGCUCAAAUUUGAAAUCUUCAAGGUUCUACCUUGACGAAUUGUAGUUUAUAGAAGUGUUUUCUGUUAGUGGAGUGGCAAAAGUUCUUUGGAAUAGGACAUCAUAGAGGGUGAGAAUCCCGUAUUUGGUCAUUCCUCCUAGCGUUGUGAUACACUUUCAACGAGUCGGAUUGUUUGGGAAUGCAGUCCAAAAUGGGUGGUAAAUUUCAUCUAAAGCUAAAUAUUGGCGAGAGACCGAUAGCGAACAAGUACCGUGAGGGAAAGAUGAAAAGAACUUUGAAAAGAGAGUUGAACAGUACGUGAAAUUGUCAAAAGGGAGGCGUUUGACACCAGUGUUGUUUUUCCGAAAAUCAAUUACGAAUGUUUUGUUUUUGAGGAGUUAUGACUUCAUCGGCUUGCUCCUUUCUUUACGAAACUUUCUUAAUGCACUUUUCGGUUAACAAGUCAACAUCAAUUUCUUUUGUUGUAAAAGGGUAUGAGGAAGGUGGCUUUCUUUUCGGAGAAAGUGUUUAUAGCCUUGUGCCUCUGCAAUCGGAGAGAUUGAGGUCUGCAGCGUAGAUCCUUCGGGGUUAGAUACGUUUGUGCUAAGUUAUAGCUUUUCAUAGACAACUUGUUGACUAUGUUUAGUCUUGUAGCUUACUCGCUGACGCUAUUUUACCUACGCUUAGGAUGUUGAUGUGAUACUGCGAGC
rnacentral:rRNA from 1 species